UACGUAGGGGGCUAGCGUUGUUCGGAAUUACUGGGCGUAAAGCGCGCGCAGGCGGUCCUUCAAGUCAGAGGUGAAAGCCCAGAGCUCAACUCUGGAACGGCCUUUGAGACUAGAGGACUUGGGUACGGGAGAGGUGAGUGGAAUUCCGAGUGUAGAGGUGAAAUUCGUAGAUAUUCGGAAGAACACCAGUGGCGAAGGCGGCUCACUGGCCCGUUACCGACGCUCAGGCGCGACAGCGUGGGGAGCAAACAGG
rnacentral:rRNA from 1 species